rnacentral:rRNA from 1 species
CCCUUAGAUGUUCUGGGCCGCACGCGCGCUACACUGUUUGAUUCAGCGAGUCUUAACCUUGACCGAAAGGUUUGGGUAAUCUUCUAAAGUCAAACGUGAUGGGGAUCGAUCAUUGCAAUUAUUGAUCGGGAACGAGGAAUUCCCAGUAAGCGCGAGUCAUAAGCUCGCGUUGAUUACGUCCCUGCCCUUUGUACACACCGCCCGUCGCUCCUACCGAUUGAGUGGUCCGGUGAGGCUUUGGGAUCUGAGCGGAAAGAGCGUUUCGCUGUUUCUGCUCGGAAAACUCAGUCGAACCUUAUCAUUUAGAGGAAGGAGAAGUCGUAACA